rfam:Lactobacillus plantarum WCFS1 complete genome
UAUAGUUAUGAGCCGUUCCCGAAAGGAUAAGUUUAGCUUGUUCGACGAAGAAUAAGUGAUGCUUAGAUGCCUUGUAACCGAAAUUAUCAAGGGGGAAUUUAUUGUG